CUUUUUCAUAACUAUGGCUUAUAGAUGUAUUUAGAAGAUGCCACAGUCCCAGAAGCUUUAUUAAAUGGAGGUAGUCCCAGAAAUGAAGCAACUACAGAAUUAGUGUUGAAGUCACUGAACAGACAGUAUGGAGAUUAUCAAGAGAAUGGUGACAGGAAAAUUUUGCUCUGGCAUGAAAGGAACAUUCUCAUUCAAUCUUAAAGGGAGAAAAUGGAAAACAAUGACAGUGAAAGCUGCUUCAUGUCACCCACCUUCUUUACUGGGGAGGAGGCUAACUGAAGGUGGGCUGUAGAAUUUGUGUUUGGAGUCCUCCAAAAUCAAUAACCCUAGUCUGUAUUCUGCACCAGGAUUUCCAAGGCAGGU